rnacentral:tRNA from 1 species
AAGGGUAUGGCUCAGUGGUAGAGUACAUGCCUACUAUGCAUGCAGUCUGGGUUCAAUCCCUAGGCCCUCC